CACGUAGGGCGCAAGCGUUGUCCGGAAUUAUUGGGCGUAAAGAGCUCGUAGGCGGUCUGUUGCGUCCGCUGUGAAAACUCGGGGCUUAACCCCGAGCCUGCAGUGGAUACGGGCAGACUAGAGGUAGGUAGGGGAGAAUGGAAUUCCCGGUGUAGCGGUGAAAUGCGCAGAUAUCGGGAGGAACACCGGUGGCGAAGGCGGGACUCUGGGCCGAUACUGACGCUGGGGAGCGAAAGCGUGGGGAGCGAACAGG
rnacentral:rRNA from 1 species